AGUGAACGCUGGCGGUAGGCCUAACACAUGCCAGUCGAACGGCAGCACAGUAAGAGCUUGCUCUUACGGGUGGCGAGUGGCGGACGGGUGAGGAAUACAUCGGAAUCUACUUUUUCGUGGGGGAUAACGUAGGGAAACUUACGCUAAUACCGCAUACGACCUACGUGUGAAAGCAGGGGAUCUUCGGACCUUGCGCGAUUGAAUGAGCCGAUGUCGGAUUAGCUAGUUGGCGGGGUAAAGGCCCACCAAGGCGACGAUCCGUAGCUGGUCUGAGAGGAUGAUCAGCCACACUGGAACUGAGACACGGUCCAGACUCCUACGGGAGGCAGCAGUGGGGAAUAUUGGACAAUGGGCGCAAGCCUGAUCCAGCCAUACCGCGUGGGUGAAGAAGGCCUUCGGGUUGUAAAGCCCUUUUGUUGGGAAAGAAAAGCAGCAGGUUAAUACCCCGCUGUUCUGACGGUACCCAAAGAAUAAGCACCGGCUAACUUCGUG
rnacentral:rRNA from 1 species